UUCCAAAACCCUAAAGUGGGACUGAAUACCGAAGCUGGUGGUCACCUAGGGCGGCGCGUGGAUCACACGCGCCUCCCACGGCCCGUCACUUGCGCAGUGCUGUUGAUCCAGAUCCGCUUUGGAUCCGACCCAGUGGGUUGACCCAGAAACUUAAUGUGUCAACCCACCUUCUUCUUCCCCAAUCAGUUAGGGUUUUAACCCUUGUACCAGCGUCGUCGCGGCCGUUUGUGUCUCCCCAAAUAAUCGCCGGCCUCCUCCUCUUCGCAGUUGCCAUUGUCGUCGUUCGCCAUAGCCGUCGUUAUGGCCGUCGUUUAUUCACCUCGCCAUCGGCCACCAUGGCUAUCGCCGUUAUCCACACAGUGCAUAUAUAUAAUACAUUUAUAUAUGCACAGAAGACGGUAGCCCAGAAGAACUAAAAUCGUGUAACGAUUCGUUAAUCGACGGCGACUUGAAGCAUCGAGCAACCAGCGAAGAGGAUGACCCACUAUCGGUCGGCCAAGAUGACCGACGACCCACGACGAGAAGGCGACUAAGGCGAGCAGAAGGCAAACGGUCGCGGCCAUGGCGAACACAUCAAGCCAUGGCCGCCGGUGACGGGCGAAAGCGAUCGACCAUUCGGCAACAGCAAGUAAUACCGACGGCUCGACACCCACGGCCAUGGACGAUUUCCAUCCUCGGUCGGCGACUCCGACAUCGCACCACGCUCGCCGGCGACACGAAUGGCCGCGACGUACGCGGCCGCCUGCGACGCAACAGAGCAACCCCACCGGCCAAGGAAGACCCACGAGCAGCAAGCCCACCGACCAUGACGAACACGGCCGCCGGCGACUGCCUCAGCCAUGGCUGAAACGAAGCAAACAUUUCCUUUUUGGCUUCAAUUGGCAUUUUCCAUAAGACAUUUGAGGAAGGCUGCUGGACCCAUCCUUGCUGAAUGUACAUCCAUUUGUCAUAUGUGCCACAUUGGGAACUCUGCAAUGGUUGAGACCAAGAAGAGGAUGGCACUGCGCCCCAGAAUUAGUAAGAAAUCUGGUAAAGAUACAAAAACACCACAAAAGCAGAAAUCCGGAAGGUGAUAUUAAAGAAACCAAAGAAAAGAAAAGAGCACCAGUGUAUCAUGCUUAUUGGUUCAAUGGUCUCUUCUUGUCGAGAAAGCCAAAUAAUGAGCGAGUUAUGCACUUCAGAAGUAGAAAGUUUGUUGCGCCAUCUGAACAGUUGAUUGGCAUUGUUGAUCAACCCAAAUGCAGUCUCUGUGGAGAGCCAGAAUCCGCGUCCACGUUGAGCUAUGUUGGUUGUGAAAUCUGUUGAGAAUGGUAUCAUGGAGAAGCUUUUGGGCUUAGCACGGAGAACAUUAGUAGUCUCAUUGGAUUUAGGUGCCACAAGUGCCGUAGCAGGGCAUCACCCAGCUGCCCCCGUUUGAACAGAAAGACUAGCGAUGACGCGCAAGUGGGCACUUCAAAUGGUAAGGUAACGGUCGACUUUGCUGGGGAUGUCUCAAACGUUAUUGCACUUCCAUCUUUUGAUGACAAAGAAGCAAAGUUUCUGUCUUUUCAAAGGGAAAGAAUCUGGAGGAAGAUCAGGGUUCUAAGAAGGAAUCCACAAGCGCAAGUUUCUGCUGGAGCAGAGUUAGAUGCGAUAAUAAGGAGAAGCAGAGGAUCAGAGCUAAGAUUGUGGGUUUGAUGGGUCAAUUUUCUGUUAUGAUAAGGCGUAACUUUCAGUUGGAGAUGCUGUUAUAGCAUUGGUUGUAUCUUCUCCUAUAGCCUCUCUGAAGGUAGGAAGUUGUCAAGAAGAGAGAGAGGUCUAAAGACUUGACUUUGAACUGGGAAUAAUCAAUCAAUACUAGAUUUCUUCUUUCCUCAAUUGUACUUUUUCUCUUAAUUCUUUCCUUCAUCUUUCUCUCUUUCAUG